UUCCGACCAGAGAUGGAAGGAACGCUUUUAUUAGAUCAAAACCAAUCGGUGGCUUGUCCAUCGUUACUUUUGGUGACUCUGAAUAACUUUCUGCUGAUCGUAUGGUCUAGUACCGACGACGAAUCUUUCAAAUGUCUGCCUUAUCAACUGUCGAUGGUAGGUUCUGCGCCUACCAUGGUUGUAACGGGUAACGGGGAAUCAGGGUUCGAUUCCGGAGAGGGAGCCUGAGAAACGGCUACCACAUCCAAGGAAGGCAGCAGGCGCGCAAAUUACCCACUCCCGGCACGGGGAGGUAGUGACGAAAAAUAACGAUACGGGACUCAUCCGAGGCCCCGUAAUCGGAAUGAAUACACUU
rnacentral:rRNA from 1 species